GCUAAACAGACUGCUGCCGUGCUAGCUGGCUAGGUCACUCUGUAAGUAAGUCAUUUUCCCUAUUAAAAUCCCUUGUAUUUUUACCUGGCUCUGUAUUGGUAAUUUCCUGCCAUAUCUGGUGUCAGGAGUGGGAUCUUGGCCCCAUUUGGGACGGCCUGCAGGUCCCACCGGGCCUUUGGCCUAGGCCAGGAAAGCGCCCUCUCUCCACAGGUACUCCCGGCUCCCAGCCACCAGCUGUCCCAGACAAGUGCAUUCUGGCUGCCGCUGAGCCACUUAGAACCGUCUGCCCAGCUGGGAGACUUCCACAGACCUCUUGCAGUUUCUAGCUGCAGGCACAGGACUGGCUCAGACUGUGGCCUACCCGAACCCUGAGGCCUCUGCCCUAGAACUGGCCACAAGGCCAUAUACUUUCUAAGAUAAGCGCAGCCGCUUUUGUGACCUCUCUCCACGGCUACCACCAUCUUGCCUGACCCACCGCUGCCAAACCCCGUGCCAAGUAGCUGAAUGCCUGCACCACCUGCUGGUCAAAGAUACUUACUGCAUCUGCAGUAGAAAUCAGGUACAAAUGAUGGACCUUCAGAGGAUCCAAAGGCCCUGCCAUUGAAGUGGCUUACAGAUGAACUUGUUUAACCUCUGAGAAGCUAGAGGCAUUGGAAAAGUUAGUACAAGAACAGCUAGAUGCUGGACAUAUAGAGGAAUCUACCAGUCCUUGGAAUUCUCCUGUAUUUGUUAUAAAAAAAAGAAGUCAGAGAAUACCCUUCUGGAAUUCUGAUGCAAAGGGAAGACAUCAUAUUGGAGUGGAUAUUUCUG
rnacentral:lncRNA from 1 species